CCCACCAUCUCCACUUCUUUCUCUAACCCCACCACUUCCAACUUCUUCUCCACCAUCUCCACCUUCUUCCCCACCACCUCCAUCUUCUUUAAAAUUAAGAAAGAGAAAGAAAGAGAGAGAGAGAGAGAGAGAGAGAGAGAGAAAAAGAGAGAGAGAAGAAGAAGAAGAAGGGAGAAAGCUCACCUGAGCUCGUCGCCGGAGCCACCACACGCCAGACCGUUGAGCUCGCCACCACCAUCAUCCGCAACCAAAGGUAACCGGAAACCGCCAUAUUUUUGAGUUUAGUUUCGGCCGUUUUAGUAAAUCGACCAUAACUUCUUAACCGUUGCGAAUCUCGUGCAUCCAAGCCCAUCAUCGUGUUCCUCUCGUCGAGACGAAGCCGUAGACACCAAGCACACCUCAAACGGAGCCCGGACGAAGCCGUACGCGCCUCCAGAAAACCGCCCUUCGCGCGCGCGUGAAACGCACGCGCCGCCGCCGGAAAUCGUCGCCACCGCAGCUCCGCCGCCGGACCACCGUCCGCCGCCGCAGCUCCGCCGUCGCCGCCGGCCAACUUUCCGAUUUGGAGUCCAUUUGAGCAGCUGGAGUUCAUAGAUAUCACUUAUUAUUGCUAAGGUGAGACAAACAAGUAUGUGAUAUUUGGACGGAUUUGGUGCUACUGGACUUUUCUUUCGGAUUUUAUUUGGGCAUGGGUGAGAGUUGUCGGGUUUAUGGGCUUUUAUAUUACGGGAUAUUGUUGGUGGCCCGUCGUCCUUAGUGUCAGGGAGACGGGUAUCACAUUGUUGUAUGAUGACGCGUCGGGGGUGACACGCUGUCCUCCAUAUAGGAGGUGACAGGUGUCACAAAAAUAUCCAAGCCUGAUAGAACCUGAAGAAAUGAAACCAAUCCAAAGAUCUACACUGA